CUACCUCAUUAUCCUCAAAAGCUCCUAAGUUUCUUUCUUUCCAAAUGACUCAGAAAAUAAUCAAGUGAAUCAAUUUUGCGAUCUCUCUUUUCAUGCCUACCCCAUCCCACGCGCAAAUCUCCUCUUUGACAUUCCCCGCCAUCACCCAAUGGAUCCCCAAUAGUCCAUAGAUCAUGCUCCACAAUAAGCUGCAGAGCACCAUAGGAGGGUGUGAUUGCAAGAUUCCGCCGCUUUCAUGCAUAAAUAACACCUGUUAACCAAAAUCUGGUCUCUAGUCGUCAGUUUAUUAAUGGUC
rnacentral:lncRNA from 1 species